rnacentral:rRNA from 1 species
GGUUGAUCCUGCCAGUAGUCAUAUGCUUGUCUUAAAGAUUAAGCCAUGCAUGUCUAAGUAUAAAUAGUAUACAGUGAAACUGCGAAUGGCUCAUUAAAACAGUUAUAGUUUAUUUGAUAAUUAAAUUCUACAUGGAUAACCGUAGUAAUUCUAGAGCUAAUACAUGCUGCAAGACCUGACUUUUUGGAAAGGUUGUAUUUAUUAGAUCUCAAACCAAUAUUCCUUCGGGUUUAUUGUGAUGAUUCAUAAUAACUGAUCGGAUCGAGGCUAGCCCUCGAUAAAUCAUUCAAGUU